rnacentral:rRNA from 1 species
CCAAUAGCGUAUAUUAAAGUUGUUGCAGUUAAAAAGCUCGUAGUUGAAUUUCGGGAUCAAUUAAUUGGUCGUGCCUAUGGUACGUACUGAUUUUAUUGGUUUCUCCCUUCUGACGAACCAUGAUGUCAUUAAUUUGGUGUCGUGGAGAAUUAGGAUUGUUACUUUGAAAAAAUUAGAGUGUUUAAAGCAAGCUAACGCUU